rnacentral:lncRNA from 1 species
GUGGGAGUUUUUUGUUUUGUUUUUAGUUUUUAUUUACUUUACCUAGUAUGGCUUUUUAGUUGCUUCUCAAGUCAGAAAACUUUCAGGAAGGUUUCCCUGUGCAUUUGCACCAGAUGAAUGUUUGAUGCUAUGAAAAGCUUUCCAUAUCAUCAAAACUAAUUUGUGUAGAUUUUUGCAUGAAAAAAAAAAUCAUAAAUUUCCCUCAAAAUAGACUGUGUUGCAGUACACAAGUUGCCAUUAUAGUAUAAAACAGUAAAAUGUGCUUUUAAAAGCCAUCCUUUUCAUUUUCAGAGAUAACAUAAAGAUCUUUGCAUGAGGUAAAUCUACAGCCUAGUUCAUUUUUAGAUUUUGUUGAGUCCUGUAAAGAAGAAGAAGAAAAAAGUUUCAGUUGUGGUAGAAUACCGUGCUGUGUUUAAAUGUUACUUGUUUUCAAACUUUGUUUUCUAUGAAAAUGAUAUGGAAACUUCUAAAAUGGAAUUUGGUGCAUAUGUACUGCUGAAUAAAGACCGAUGAAGAGGUUUGAAUAGAUGUACAAAUCAAGUAAUGGUUUGAACACCUUUAAUAAUAUGCCUAAUCUGUUCAAUUGUUUUAGAAUCUUUUUAUCUUAGAUGUAGGCAGCCAUGAACAAUCUAUUUUGAGCCACUUUAGGGAGAAAACUUUGUAUUUUUAAAACUUGCAUAAAAGUUAUGCAAGUGGUUUUUAUAAAUUGGAAUAAUACCUCAGUUUUGAGGUUAUGCACACUAAAUUAAAUGUGACAUAAAUUAAUUUGUACAAAAAGAACUCUUUAUAAGGUGGCUCAUUGUAGGAAAUCCUGUGCCUUCCCCUUUGAGCACAAGUGUUGCAUGAACAACAGUUUGCUAUAAGAAACAUACCAGAUUAGCCACCAUUAGCAUCUAUAUCUACUUUGUGUUUAAAAAUCAACUGGUAAUUCUGAAACACUGUAGAAUGGAUAAAAAUUAUUUUGUGAUCAUAACUCUUUGUUGAACUAGAGUAUUUUUGCAGCAUUCCUUGUCAUCAAAAACAUGGUUAAAGUUUAAAACUAGAAGCAGCAGAAAACUAGCUUGUAAAAUUUAUCCAAGUAGAGUGCAGGCUAGGCUAUCUUGGGGAAAUAAACAUUAAAACUCAAAGCAAUGUUUUACAUGGGGCAUGUGUGUGUGCUGUGUGC